rnacentral:rRNA from 1 species
UACGUAGGUGGCAAGCGUUGUCCGGAUUUACUGGGCGUAAAGAGCGCGCAGGCGGUCGAUCAAGUCGCGUGUGAAAGCCCCCGGCUCAACUGGGGAGGGUCACGCGAUACUGAUCGACUCGAAGGCAGGAGAGGGUAGUGGAAUUCCCGGUGUAGUGGUGAAAUGCGUAGAUAUCUGGAGGAACACCGGUGGCGAAGGCGGCGUUCUGGACUGUUUCUGACACUGAGGAACGAAAGCCAGGGGAGCAAACGGG